rnacentral:SRP_RNA from 1 species
CUGUGCUAGACGGGGAGCUAGCGGUGCCCUGUAACCUGCAACCCGCUAUAGCAGGGUUUAAUUCCCUUUAGAGGCUCAAAACUUUUCUUGAUUGUCAUCUUGAUAAGCGGUGAUGAUAGCUCGAGUCCUGCGCAAAUGUGAAAUACUGAACCCCGUCAGGACCGGAAGGUAGCAGCGGUAAGUAUUGGAGCAUUGUGCCGCAGGUUUACUUGGCUGGAGCUGGCUGUCAAGGUGUAUCAAGAAAAGAAGGGUCGAAGAAGGGUGCACAG